ACAGCUCACCGUUACGGACCCUGUUCAUCUGGGCAGAGAUCCAACGAAUGUGGCCAUUCAAUUUGUACUCUUCAAUGAGAUUGUACAUCUUUUUCAACUCUUCUUGUUCCUCGAGAUCCUUCGAUUCCUUACCAUGGUCUCCAGCCACCACCACAAGGUUGACUAGCUCCUUGAGACGAGCAUUCCUUCCAUAUAGCUCGACUAGGCCGGUUAUGUUCUUCACUCUGUCCAGCCUCGCCAUGGAGAAGAUAAUAGGCUUGUUUCUGUCAUGAAUCACAAAUUUGUGCUCAUCAUUCUCCACAGAACUAUAAAGCAACUCCUCUAUUUCGGGGUGGAAGGAAG
rnacentral:misc_RNA from 1 species